GGAGAGGUGGCAGAGUGGUCGAAUGCGCGCGACUGGAAAUCGCGUUAUCGGGGUUAAAUCUCGAUACGAGGGUUCGAAUCCCUCCCUCUCCGCCA
rnacentral:tRNA from 1 species